UCUACGGCUUCCUUGACAACUACUGCAGAUGCUGCUAUCACCAUGGGGAUGGUUCUUCUAAAUGAAGCAGCAACUUCCAAAGGAGAUGUUGGAAAAAGACGGAUAAUUUGCCUAGUGGGAUUGGGCCUGGUGGUCUUCUUCUUCAGUUUUCUACUUUCAAUAUUUCGUUCCAAGUACCACGGCUAUCCUUAUAGCUUUUUAAUUAAAUGAAGCCAAGUGGGAUUUGCAUAAAGUGAAUGUUUACCAUGAAGAUAAACUGUUCCUGACUUUAUACUAUUUUGAAUUCAUUCAUUUGUUGAUUGUGAUCACUAGCUUAUUCUUGUGUAUGUUUUUUAAACUGUGGGUUUUCCUGGUAAAUUUAAUUUAUAGAAAUGAAUGGUAACAUGUAGUAAUCUACAGAGGAAAUAUCAAAGUGUUUUUUUUUUCAAGCCUAUCAUAGUGUGUGCCACAGGAUUGAAAUAAAUGACAUUGUAAUUAUGAAUUCAUGUUUUAGAACUGUUUACUCAUUAGUAAAGGAAUACAAUGUUAGUAAAGAAAACCUACAAAAUGUAUGUUAAAGAUUCUUAGUAUUGUACAGGGAUAAAGCAAAUGCAUGAAAAUAUGUCAUGUACUGAAAAUUAAACUUACUGCAGCUUCAGUUAUAAAGUACUUGCACUGUUACGAA